rnacentral:rRNA from 1 species
GGUAAUACGGAGGAUCCAAGCGUUAUCCGGAAUCAUUGGGUUUAAAGGGUCCGUAGGCGGUUUAAUAAGUCAGUGGUGAAAGCCCAUCGCUCAACGGUGGAACGGCCAUUGAUACUGUUAAACUUGAAUUAUUAGGAAGUAACUAGAAUAUGUAGUGUAGCGGUGAAAUGCUUAGAGAUUACAUGGAAUACCAAUUGCGAAGGCAGGUUACUACUAAUGGAUUGACGCUGAUGGACGAAAGCGUGGGUAGCGAACAGGAUUA